UGGAAAAGUACCUUUGCCUGAUUUGUUAUACAGUACGAUUCAGUGUAUAGUCAGCCAAGUGGUUCCGUUUGAUCUUUGUAGUGAAAAUUGCCUAAAAAGAGAGAGGAAGUGGCAGGGGCCGUCUUGUUACAAGAGGAGUAUGGGAUCUGUCUGACAAAGGAGACAAGGAAAAGGAAGCUGACAGUGGAAAAGGGGGGGGGAAACAGUGAAAGCUGAUUUCAGCCUGAGGAAGAAAACUGGAAAAUAGAAUGUUGAAGGUUUCAUUUUUUUUUUUUACCUGAUCAUUGCCAACACAUUCCAGUAGCCUUUAGGCAGAAAUGCAGAAUGUGUGAUUAAACAGAAAUAUUUUGAAAAGUCUA